rnacentral:rRNA from 1 species
UCAGGAUGAACGCUAGCUACAGGCUUAACACAUGCAAGUCGAGGGGCAUCAGGAAGAAAGCUUGCUUUCUUUGCUGGCGACCGGCGCACGGGUGAGUAACACGUAUCCAACCUGCCCUUUACUCGGGGAUAGCCUUUCGAAAGAAAGAUUAAUACCCGAUAGCAUAAUGAUUCCGCAUGGUUUCAUUAUUAAAGGAUUCCGGUAAAGGAUGGGGAUGCGUUCCAUUAGGUUGUUGGUGAGGUAACGGCCCACCAAGCCUUCGAUGGAUAGGGGUUCUGAGAGGAAGGUCCCCCACAUUGGAACUGAGACACGGUCCAAACUCCUACGGGAGGCAGCAGUGAGGAAUAUUGGUCAAUGGGCGCUAGCCUGAACCAGCCAAGUAGCGUGAAGGAUGAAGGCUCUAUGGGUCGUAAACUUCUUUUAUAUAAGAAUAAAGUGCAGUAUGUAUACUGUUUUGUAUGUAUUAUAUGAAUAAGGAUCGGCUAACUCCGUGCCAGCAGCCGCGGUAAUACGGAGGAUCCGAGCGUUAUCCGGAUUUAUUGGGUUUAAAGGGAGCGUAGGUGGACUGGUAAGUCAGUUGUGAAAGUUUGCGGCUCAACCGUAAAAUUGCAGUUGAUACUGUCAGUCUUGAGUACAGUAGAGGUGGGCGGAAUUCGUGGUGUAGCGGUGAAAUGCUUAGAUAUCACGAAGAACUCCGAUUGCGAAGGCAGCUCACUGGACUGCAACUGACACUGAUGCUCGAAAGUGUGGGUAUCAAACAGGAUUAGAUACCCUGGUAGUCCACACAGUAAACGAUGAAUACUCGCUGUUUGCGAUAUACAGUAAGCGGCCAAGCGAAAGCAUUAAGUAUUCCACCUGGGGAGUACGCCGGCAACGGUGAAACUCAAAGGAAUUGACGGGGGCCCGCACAAGCGGAGGAACAUGUGGUUUAAUUCGAUGAUACGCGAGGAACCUUACCCGGGCUUAAAUUGCAGUGGAAUGAUGUGGAAACAUGUCAGUGAGCAAUCACCGCUGUGAAGGUGCUGCAUGGUUGUCGUCAGCUCGUGCCGUGAGGUGUCGGCUUAAGUGCCAUAACGAGCGCAACCCUUAUCUUUAGUUACUAACAGGUUAUGCUGAGGACUCUAGAGAGACUGCCGUCGUAAGAUGUGAGGAAGGUGGGGAUGACGUCAAAUCAGCACGGCCCUUACGUCCGGGGCUACACACGUGUUACAAUGGGGGGUACAGAAGGCAGCUAGCGGGUGACCGUAUGCUAAUCCCAAAAUCCUCUCUCAGUUCGGAUCGAAGUCUGCAACCCGACUUCGUGAAGCUGGAUUCGCUAGUAAUCGCGCAUCAGCCACGGCGCGGUGAAUACGUUCCCGGGCCUUGUACACACCGCCCGUCAAGCCAUGGGAGCCGGGGGUACCUGAAGUACGUAACCGCAAGGAUCGUCCUAGGGUAAAA